GUACUACUGAAGAGUCCAAAACUAGGCAGACGAAACAGCUGUCUAGGAC
rnacentral:hammerhead_ribozyme from 1 species